GCUUUUACUCAAUUUUUUACUCUAAUUCAAUAAAAAUUUGGGUAAGGGCAAUUUGGUAUGAAGUACUUCAAUGGACAAAUCCGAAUGUAAGCACAAAUGUGAGUAAAAGCUACAUUAAUGGCAGAGUCGUAAAUUAUCAAAAGCAAACAACCCUUAAAUCUUUUUUGUGAUUCUAUGACUGAAAUUGUAAAGAAACAGAGUAUAGCAUUUUCGAUACAGAUGAUUUGAACUUAAUAAAUGGUCAUAUACAUACGUACCAGGGCGGAGGUGGUGGGGGCCGGCAUUGAUGAGGUUGAAGAGGCUGGCGCGGCCGUAGAAUUUGGCGAGGAAGAUGGUGGCAUUAGAUUGAGAAUCGGAGGAUUUGAUCCAGUGAAGGCAGGGUACUUUCUUUGACACCUAAGGGGUGUAUCAUCAAGAUAUGUGAGAGUUCCAUUGACAUCUUGCUUCAUUGUUCAAACAUGGCAGCAUUUACUCGUUCGACAUCUUCCAGUAACACCUUUUACUGUAAGUUAGUUUCUCUAGAACUUGAGAGUUUGUAACAAACCACAUAAUUAAUACCUUGUCUGUAUAGGAACUUUUUGGAAGGGUGUGAAACAAGUAUUUGCGUUAGAAUACAUAUUAAGUUUGGCCAAUAGUCCUCCAUGUAAAGUUUGUUUCUUAGAAACAGAACAUAGCAUCAGAACUAGGAAAA